CUCAGGAUGAACGCUGGCGGCGUGCCUAAUACAUGCAAGUCGAGCGAACGGACGAGAGUGCUUGCACUCUUUGAUGUUAGCGGCGGACGGGUGAGUAACACGUGGGUAACCUACCUAUAAGACUGGGAUAACUUCGGGAAACCGGAGCUAAUACCGGAUAAUAUUUUUCUCUGCAUGGAGGAAUAGUGAAAGACGGUUUUGCUGUCACUUAUAGAUGGACCCGCGGUGUAUUAGCUAGUUGGUGAGGUAACGGCUCACCAAGGCAACGAUACAUAGCCGACCUGAGAGGGUGAUCGGCCACACUGGGACUGAGACACGGCCCAGACUCCUACGGGAGGCAGCAGUAGGGAAUCUUCCGCAAUGGACGAAAGUCUGACGGAGCAACGCCGCGUGAGUGAAGAAGGUUUUCGGAUCGUAAAACUCUGUUGUAAGGGAAGAACAAGUACGUUAGUAACUGAACGUACC
rnacentral:rRNA from 1 species